rnacentral:lncRNA from 1 species
AUGCUGCGCCAGAGAUACAGUCUAGAAACUAAUGGUAAAACAGAGGAACAGUCAAAGACACAAGAUGAGCUGAAGGACUUCAAAGAGCAGGCCUGCAGCUGGGCCAGUGAACUGCAUCUGAAGGUUUCUGAGGAUGUGAACAGAUGGGUAACACCUGAGGAGAAACUCACAGCAGUGCAGGAUGUGUGUGUUGAUCUUGGUCAGAGUAUGACUGAGGAGCUGAAGUGUGCAAUGUUAAUACAACAGAGCCACGAGGGUCUGGACUCUCUACAGGGUCGGAUAGAGGGCAGCUCUAAUGACUCGAAUGCAUUAAAGACUGUAGAGGAAGUGGAAGGAAACCAUCUAGAGGUUGAGAAACUGUCUGAGGUCCUGCAGACAAGCUGUACUCCAGAGGGUCAGACCUCUAUCUCUCAAGAAUCUCAAACAUUGUUUGGAAAGACGCCAGCCCUGAGGAAGAUCUUGGAAGAUGAGAGGACUCCGGAAGGCAACUCUGAUCCAGAUCAAUGUUCCAUUCAGUGCAUCGAGCCUCAGCAGCCUGGAGCGUCCACAGAGGAGCUCCAGUCAGUUCAGGUUGCCGCUGACAGUGAAGUGGAUGACAUGGAUCGUAUGAAUGUAAAAUUCUUGCCCACAAAUGAAGUUAGUGAAACAGAAGAUCAAUCACCUUGCUCAGAACAACAAGCAACCGAAGAUCUUGGGAACCUUCCAUCAGGCCACGACUCAAAUAAGCAGCUGCUCAUGUCUGGAUCUAAAGAGAUAGACGGAACUGGAUCUGUAUUAGGAGAAGGUGACAGCAAAUCCACUCAUGGCUCAUCCUGUGAAUCAUUAAAGCCUGUCUUUACCAUAGUGCUGGACUCUGAUCUUACCAAACCCAAUCAGAACCCACUAACACAAGCCAUCCCAGCUUCUUCAGCUAAAUGGGAUGCUGUUUCAGUUUUUCAUGAUAGGACCGCAGAGACAUCAGCGGAUGGCUUGAAACACUUGGAAGUCAAACCAAAUGUUGAUUUAGCUAUGGAUGAAGAACAUGAUGCAAUAAGCUCUUCCGAUGAACCUAUACAUUUAUGUGCUGAUCUUUCAAAAUCAGAAGUGCAGUUUAAAGAAAACAGCCACACUGAUAAUAUUGAACCCACUCGUUCUGAUCUAGACCUUGAUUUCAGGCCUAAACCAGAGAAGGACUCGUCUACUCAAGCAUUUGACCCAGUGCUUUCAUACCCAGAGAAGCAUCAAGGAAGCUCUGGAACUGCGAAGAAAGUAUUUACCAUCAUCCUAGAUGUUGAUACUCCUGUAUUAUCAUCAGCCAGGUAUCAAUCGCUGCAAGAGACACAGUGUACAGGUCCUGAAGACUCAACCACAGAUGAAUUCUCCCAUUCAGAUGUAAAAAUACAUCAGAGGAUCUCCUCUGGUACUGAGAAACCUGAAGGCCAAAUGGCUGAGCUAGAUUUAUCAGAAGAGUCCAAUGUGAUAUCAAGAAGCUCUGAAAUACAGCCAGGACAGAAGGCAGCUAUGCUUAUCCAACCCCAAACCCCUGAGAUCAUGGAGAUUGACGUUCAAAUAGAUGAAAAAGAGAAGCAACAUGAAGUCACUGAUGCAGAAACAUCAAGCCAAAUGGAUGUCCACACUGGAGAAGGCAACGAGUCAGGGUCUGUAGUUCACCAACAGGAUGUCGUCAGGGGUCUGUAG